UACAUUUUUUUGCUUCAACCAAGAGCAGCUGAAUGCAUCAAUUUCAGCCAAGAGUUGCUAAAUAUGACAUCUUUAGCUAAGAGUAGCUGAAUAUGAUCAUUUGUUCUCCCAGGAGUGUCUACCUUCAGCCAAAAAGGUCUAAAGACCAGUCGAGCAUGUUUGUAACAGAUUCAUCCCUGGAGAUCUAUUGUCAGUUAAGAGCAACUCAACAUGAUUCUCUCAUCCCUAGUCAUUUGCAUAUCAUCUGAGAAAU
rnacentral:lncRNA from 1 species